GGAAACGAAUGCUAAUACCGCAUAAGACCACAGUGUCGCAUGGCACAGGGGUCAAAGGAUUUAUCCGCUGAAAGAUGGGCUCGCGUCCGAUUAGCUAGAUGGUGAGGUAACGGCCCACCAUGGCAACGAUCGGUAGCCGGACUGAGAGGUUGAACGGCCACAUUGGGACUGAGACACGGCCCAGACUCCUACGGGAGGCAGCAGUGGGGAAUAUUGCACAAUGGGGGAAACCCUGAUGCAGCGACGCCGCGUGGAGGAAGAAGGUCUUCGGAUUGUAAACUCCUGUCCCAGGGGACGAUAAUGACGGUACCCUGGGAGGAAGCACCGGCUAACUACGUGCCAGCAGCCGCGGUAAAACGUAGGGUGCAAGCGUUGUCCGGAAUUACUGGGUGUAAAGGGAGCGCAGGCGGAUUGGCAAGUUGGGAGUGAAAUCUAUGGGCUCAACCCAUAAAUUGCUUUCAAAACUGUCAGUCUUGAGUGGUGUAGAGGUAGGCGGAAUUCCCGGUGUAGCGGUGGAAUGCGUAGAUAUCGGGAGGAACACCAGUGGCGAAG
rnacentral:rRNA from 1 species